GUGAAUCAUCGAAUCUUUGAACGCAAAUUGCACUCUCUUCGGAGAGUAUGCCUGUUUGAGGGUCAGCCUCUAUAAAAUCGACAUCGUUGUUGUUUCGCGGUGGCGUUCGUCGGAUAUUGGGUUAUGUUAUAUCUUUUGGUUUUAAGUGACUUAAAAUUUUCUUUUGGUUCAUUGUACGUCUCUAUGAUCUAUUUAUUUAUACGUUUAAGGUAUCGUUUUUUAAUAGACGUGACCAUCAUAUCUGA
rnacentral:misc_RNA from 1 species